rnacentral:rRNA from 1 species
GUAGGGUGCAAGCGUUAAUCGGAAUUACUGGGCGUAAAGCGUGCGCAGGCGGUUCGGAAAGAAAGGUGUGAAAUCCCCGGGCUUAACCUGGGAACGGCACUUUUAACUACCGGGCUAGAGUGUGUCAGAGGGAGGUGGAAUUCCGCGUGUAGCAGUGAAAUGCGUAGAGAUGCGGAGGAACACCGAUGGCGAAGGCAGCCUCCUGGGAUAACACUGACGCUCAUGCACGAAAGCGUGGGGAGCAAACAGGAUUAGAUACCCUGGUAGUCCACGCCCUAAACGAUGUCAACUAGCUGUUGGGGGCUUCGGCUCUUGGUAGCGCACUAACGCGUGAAGUUGACCGCCUGGGGAGUACGGUCGCAAGAUUA